UACGGAGGAUGCGAGCGUUAUCCGGAUUUAUUGGGUUUAAAGGGUGCGUAGGCGGGUUAUCAAGUCAGCGGUAAAAUCGUGAGCUCAACUCCAUCCAGCCGUUGAAACUGAUGAUCUUGAGUGGGCGAGAAGUAUGCGGAAUGCGUGGUGUAGCGGUGAAAUGCAUAGAUAUCACGCAGAACUCCGAUUGCGAAGGCAGCAUACCGGCGCCCGACUGACGCUGAAGCACGAAAGCGUGGGUAUCGAACAGG
rnacentral:rRNA from 1 species